rnacentral:rRNA from 1 species
AACGAACGCUGGCGGCAGGCUUAACACAUGCAAGUCGAGCGCCCCGCAAGGGGAGCGGCAGACGGGCGAGUAACGCGUGGGAAUCUACCCAUCUCUACGGAAUAACGCAUGGAAACGUGUGCUAAUACCGUAUACGUCCUUCGGGAGAAAGAUUUAUCGGAGAUGGGUGAGCCCGCGUUGGAUUAGCUAGUUGGUGGGGUAAAGGCCUACCAAGGCGACGAUCCAUAGCUGGUCUGAGAGGAUGAUCAGCCACACUGGGACUGAGACACGGCCCAGACUUCUACGGGAGGCAGCAGUGGGGAAUAUUGGACAAUGGGCGCAAGCCUGAUCCAGCCAUGCCGCGUGAGUGAUGAAGGCCCUAGGGUUGUAAAGCUCUUUCACCGGUAAAGAUAAUGACGGUAACCGGAGAAGAAGCCCCGGCUAACUUCGUGCCAGCCGCCGCCGUAACAC